CUUUCUAGCAAAGAGGGAUUCCUCUCUCUCUCUCUCUCUCUCUCUCUCUCUCUCUCUCUCUCUCUCUCUCUCUCUAUGCACUUGGUCGCUACUGGAUCUCGCUACUGGAUCUCAAUCCGUCAUCAAUAUGUUUUCUCGCGAGCAUCGCAUCUUUCUCUUCGAUGAGAACAGUAUGAAUUCCACUACUAUGUCUUGUAGAACAUCCAGUCCAUCCACCACGAUUUUUGCGGAGAAAGAGGAGUCUGAAGAUGAUGGUAGGGUCGCGCUCCAAGGUGUUCAUGUUGCUUCCUCAUCCUCAUCUCAACUUCAACGCUCCGUGCAUCCUGUGCAUCCGAGUUGGGAUGAAGAGGAGGAAAAAGGCUUGCUGAUGACCGUGAUCUAGCGAGCUAUGGCAUUCAAGAUAACUCAACCCUCUUUGGAUUUUUUGGCCUCUUCGUAAAUCAUAUUCCUUGAGUUUGUAAGUACUGACUAGUGAGCAUGUUCUGACUUGGCUUUUGUAUUUGAAGGAAUUCUGAACUGGAAAUCAGUAUCCAACAUUCAUGCAUUAGCAUCUCAUUAGUACAUCUUGUGCAAUGAAGGUAUAGUGUGUAUCGGUGCUUCCUUACAUUGAAUAUCUGGACAAGGUAGAAUCUCAGUAGUAAGAUCGUUUUAUGGUUUA